rnacentral:lncRNA from 1 species
CCACCACCAGCCUCUUUGGGCCACCAGUUCACCUGCCCCACUCCUGAACUCAGAAGGGGUGGCACUUAGGUUAGGGGCUCAGGAUUUCAACCCUGUCCUUCGCCAGGGACACGCCAGGACCGUGUGCUGCCUGCAUUCCUAGGGCUGCUCUUUCCCCCAGCACCAGGGGCCCCGGUAAGCAACCCCCGGAGUUUGCCUACCAAGGAGCCUGGUGCGGCCCAGCAAAGCUGGGCAGAUAAUCAGAGGGCUGUGAAACCUCCAGAGUCAUUUCAACUCCCUGGUCCUCAGUCUCCCAGACUGUGAGAAGGGUGUGGGUGGGCCUGGGUGACCUCAGAGGCCCCUUGCUUGUCUGGAACCGGGCGAUUGAAGGCGCCUGAUGGAGCCUGCAGUGGUAGAAACGCAUCCCUUUGGGUAAUGGGGAAGCUUGGGACUGGCAGAGCCCGGCAGCUCAUUUCAGUUCUCUCCUCCCUCUCCGGGAGGGCUGCUCAGGAAGCCGAGACAAGGAACUCCUGUCACAAAACGCGUGAGGGGCUUCAAAGACGCCCAGCUCCCGCAGGGACGAAGCGGGCGCGGUGCAGCGAGGCGAAACCCAGGCGCUGGGCCCGAGGAGCGGAGGUGGAGCCCCCCAGUGCCCGGACCCCGGUCCCCGAGUCCCCGGUCGCGGCGCUCCUCCUGCCCGCUCCCCACCCAGCCCCCGGCUGCGCAGCUGCCAACAGCUCCCGGGUGAUGGCGAAGGGCUGGUGCCGUCAUCAUCCUUCCUGCAGGAAGGGCUCUGGGAGCCGGAGUCUGGCAGCGCAUUAAAAAGCGGUGGCUUUUUUAUUUUAAAAUAUUACAGUGGAAAGAACGUGGGCUCCAAUUCGGUUGGCCGAAUUACUAGCUUUGUGACCUUCUGUGACACUUAGCUGAGCCUUAGUUUCCGGACAGUUUCUUCCCACGGGGCAGCUCUAAGGAUUAUACAAGAACGGAGGUGGAGUUGCCCAGUUGGAGGCUCGAAACAGAAGCGCUACUGUCGGAAGAAUGCGCAGUUGACCUCAGCCAAGGAAGGACAAGGAAAAGCUCCAAGGCCCGGCGGCCUCUCCUUGGGUCUUCCUUGGGCGCUAGCGGCUGCUGGUCAGCACCCGGCGCCGCGGUUCUCGCCUCCGCCGCAGGUCGGAAUCAGCGCGGGCGGCUAAGAAAUACGGCGCUGGAGAGCCCAGCAGGCGCCAAUUACUCGCGAGUCUCUGGGGUGGGGCCGGGGCCUGGGUGCUUUCUAAAAGCUCCUCAGGUGUUCCGCAAAGCAGCCAGAGUUGAGAACCGGUGGAAGGAAUAAACAAAGAGACCUUGAUGAGGACAGAGGGAAAUGAGCUGGUGGGUCCCCUCCCAUUUGCAGGUGGCCCCGUCACACCACACUCACAUGCCCACGGCCAGUUACAUGCACGCCCAUGCACACACUCACCCAUACACACAGACACGCCCACUCACGCUGUCACGGACACACACCCACUGUUUUC